AAAUUGUCAGAUAUAUUGAUUGAUAUGUUAAACCACUGCAAACGAUAAACGAAUGUGCAUCCAAAUCCCCUCCUUAACACAAGAAAAUAGGGUUGAUGUAAACUAUUGUAAUCAUAUAAAAUAUUUGGUAUCGGGUUGCCGUAAGCCACAACAUAGUUUUCUCGCAAUCGUGAUUAAUUAAUCCCAAAUGCUUAGACGGUAUAGUAAUGAGAAAGUAGUAUCUCUACCAAGGCAAUCUAAGCAUAUGUGUAUUUAAUUACCAUAUUGUAAUUGAAAGAAUCGUACUUGUAUGCCCUUUUUCAAAAAAAAAAAAAAAAAUCAUACCUGUAAUUUUUUUUGAAAUACUACUUGUAAGUUGUAACCCAUCU
rnacentral:lncRNA from 1 species